rnacentral:rRNA from 1 species
UACGUAGGGUGCAAGCGUUGUCCGGAAUUAUUGGGCGUAAAGAGCUCGUAGGCGGUCUGUCGCGUCUGCUGUGAAAACUCAGGGCUUAACCCUGAGCUUGCAGUGGGUACGGGCAGGCUAGAGUGCGGUAGGGGAGACUGGAAUUCCUGGUGUAGCGGUGAAAUGCGCAGAUAUCAGGAGGAACACCGGUGGCGAAGGCGGGUCUCUGGGACGGUACUGACGCUGAGACGCGAAAGCGUGGGGAGCGAACAGG